rnacentral:rRNA from 1 species
CCUACGGGAGGCAGCAGUGGGGGAUAUUGCACAAUGGGGGAAACCCUGAUGCAGCGACGCCGCGUGGGUGAAGAAGCGCCUCGGCGCGUAAAGCCCUUUCAGCAGGGAAGAAAAUGACGGUACCUGAAGAAGAAGCCCAGGCUAACUACGUGCCAGCAGCCGCGGUAAUACGUCGGGGGCAAGCGUUAUCCGGAUUUACUGGGUGUAAAGGGGGCGCAGACGGCGAUGAAAGCGAGGGGUGAAAGACCGGGGCCUAACCCCGGGACUGCAGUUGGUACUGCGUGGCUAGAGUGCAGGAGGGGUAGGCGGAAUUCCUGGUGUAGCGGUGAAAUGCGUAGAGAUCAGGAGGAACACCGGUGGCGAAGGCAGCCUGCUGGACUGCAACUGACGUUGAGGCCCGAAAGCGUGGGGAGCAAACAGGAUUAGAUACCCGUGUAGUC